rnacentral:piRNA from 1 species
UGGGCGGCUAUACGGAAACAUAUUCUA